rnacentral:rRNA from 1 species
GAUGAACGCUGGCGGCGUGCCUAAUACAUGCCAGUCGAGCGAACAGACGAGGAGCUUGCUCCUCUGACGUUAGCGGCGGACGGGUGAGUAACACGUGGAUAACCUACCUAUAAGACUGGGAUAACUUCGGGAAACCGGAGCUAAUACCGGAUAAUAUAUUGAACCGCAUGGUUCAAUAGUGAAAGACGGUUUUGCUGUCACUUAUAGAUGGAUCCGCGCCGCAUUAGCUAGUUGGUAAGGUAACGGCUUACCAAGGCAACGAUGCGUAGCCGACCUGAGAGGGUGAUCUGCCACACUGGAACUGAGACACGGUCCAGACUCCUACGGGAGGCAGCAGUAGGGAAUCUUCCGCAAUGGGCGAAAGCCUGACGGAGCAACGCCGCGUGAGUGAUGAAGGUCUUCGGAUCGUAAAACUCUGUUAUUAGGGAAGAACAAAUGUGUAAGUAACUAUGCACGUCUUGACGGUACCUAAUCAGAAAGCCACGGCUAACUACGUG